rnacentral:rRNA from 1 species
UGGGGAAUAUUGGACAAUGGGCGAAAGCCUGAUCCAGCCAUGCCGCGUGUGUGAAGAAGGUCUUCGGAUUGUAAAGCACUUUAAGUUGGGAGGAAGGGCAGUAAGCGAAUACCUUGCUGUUUUGACGUUACCGACAGAAUAAGCACCGGCUAACUCUGUGCCAGCAGCCGCGGUAAUACAGAGGGUGCAAGCGUUAAUCGGAAUUACUGGGCGUAAAGCGCGCGUAGGCGGCUAAUUGAGUCGGAUGUGAAAUCCCCGAGCUUAACUUGGGAAUUGCAUUCGAUACUGGUUAGCUAGAGUGUGGGAGAGGAUGGUAGAAUUCCAGGUGUAGCGGUGAAAUGCGUAGAGAUCUGGAGGAAUACCGAUGGCGAAGGCAGCCAUCUGGCCUAACACUGACGCUGAGGUACGAAAGCAGGGGGAGCAAACAGG